GGAUCGAUUACAUCCGGGGGGUAGAGCGACUGGAUGCUUGCGGGCCCAUAUCGGGUACCAACAGCAACCAAACUCCGAAUACCCGUGAUGCGUAUCCCGGCAGUGAGUCGGCGGGGGAUAAGCUCCGUCGUCGAAAGGGAAACAGCCCAGAUCGUCGUCUAAGGUCCCCAAGCGUGUGCUAAGUGGGAAAGGAUGUGGAGUCGCAUAGACAGCCAGGAGGUUGGCUCAGAAGCAGCCACCCUUGAAAGAGUGCGUAACAGCUCACUGGUCUAGUGGUUCCGCGCCGACAAUGUAGCGGGGCUCAAGCACACCACCGAAGACGCGGCAGUAGCUUUGCUACUGGGUAGGAGAGCGUCCCAUGCGGGGCGAAGCGGCGGCGCAAGCCCGCCGUGGACUGCAUGGGAGUGAGAAUGCAGACAUGAGUAGCGAAAGACGGGUGAAGAUCCCGUCCGCUGGACGACCAAGGGUUCCAGGGCCACGUUCAUCGUCCCUGGGUGAGUCGGGUCCUAAGGCGAGGCCGACAGGCGUAGUCGAAUGGAUGAACGGGUCGAUAUUCCCGUACCGGCAUGCAACCGACAAAACCGAAUCCGCGAGUACUAACCUCCGGGUCCGGGCUUACGUCUCCUUCGGGAGCCGGAUGCCCUGGCCUGUUGGGACCGUAACGGUAGUAGGUCAGCGCGGGAGUGACGCAGAAGGGUAGCCGGCCGCGGAGGUGGUCUUCCGUGGUCAAGCACGCAGCCCGUCCCACAGGCAAAUCCGUGGGGCGCGUGGGCGAGGUGCGAUGAUGGGCGCCGCAGGGCGCGAUAUCCGGUGAUCCCGGCUGCCGAGAAAAGCUUCGGCGUGAGGCGGCGUGCCGCCCGUACCCCAAACCGACACUGGUGGUCAGGUAGAGAAUACCAAAGCGAUCGAGCGAAUCCUGGUCAAGGAACUCGGCAAAUCACUCCCGUUCCUUCGGUUUAAGGGAGACCCCCGAUGGUGAAGCGGCUUGCCCGUGGAGCUUUUGGGGGUGGCACAGACCAGGGGGUAGCGACUGUUUACCAAAAACACAGGAGCGUGCGAAGGCGCAAGCCGCUGUAUACGCUCUGACGCCUGCCCGGUGCCGGAAGGUUAAGAGGAUCCGUCAGGCUUCGGCCGAAGCGGUGAAUUCAAGCCCCGGUAAACGGCGGUGGUAACUAUAACCAUCCUAAGGUAGCGAAAUUCCUUGUCGGGUAAGUUCCGACCUGCACGAAUGGCGUAACGACUUCCCCACUGUCUCGACCAGGAGCUCGGCGAAAUUGCAGUACGAGUAAAGAUGCUCGUUAAGCGCAGAAGGACGAAAAGACCCCGGGACCUUUACUAUACCUUGGUAUUGGCAUUCGGUGUGGAUUGUGUAGCAUAGGCGGAAGGCUUCGAAGCCACGGCGCCAGCCGCGGUGGAGCCGCAAGGUGAAAUACCGCUCUGUUCGCAUUGGAUGUCUAACCUCGACCAGUCAUCCUGGUCAGGGACAGUGCCUGGCGGGUAGUUUAACUGGGGCGGUUGCCUCCCAAAGAGUAACGGAGGCGCUCAAAGGUUCCCUCAGCCCGGUUGGCAAUCGGGUGGCGAGUGUAAGUGCACAAGGGAGCUUGACUGCGAGACUGACGGGUCGAGCAGGGACGAAAGUCGGAACUAGUGAUCCGGUGCCGGUGUACGGACGCGGCAUCGCUCAACGGAUAAAAGGUACCCCGGGGAUAACAGGCUGAUCAUUCCCAAGAGUCCAUAUCGACGGGAUGGUUUGGCACCUCGAUGUCG
rnacentral:rRNA from 1 species